rnacentral:rRNA from 1 species
AUGCAACUUGAGAUGGAAAACGCCAUGAUCGAGGCCCUGCAGACCCCGCUGGCGUUUGAAGAUGGUGGCCUCUCCCCACCUCAUCAGCCUCCCGCCGUGCAAGAUAUGGACAGCCCCGAGAUGAUCCCAUGCCUGCUCCCAUGCAUCACCUCCCCAACGGUGGCCACUGCAGGCUUCCAGCUGUCAGCGGUGACGAAGCGCGUGGGCACGAUCCAGAUCAGUGAAGGAGGCGGCUCGGAGUUGUUUGCGCAUGUCCCCCCGCCCAUCAUCAGCCCGGCUCGCCCACGCCCCUCUGCGCCACCAAAGUCCAGGGCCACCUCGGCACCUUCUCGCCGUAGUGCUCGCCAGGGUGCAGCAGCAAACCCGAUGCCAGUGGCUCAACGGGCGGUGCUUCGCCUGGUGCAGGAGUUGGGCGCGCUCGGGCCAAAGGACAUGAUGACCCCAAAGGUGGCGACAGUGCUCAUGAAGCGGUUCUAG